rnacentral:rRNA from 1 species
AUGGAUCCCAAGGUCGCUGUUGCUCUCACCCUGUCUCUCGUAGGUGGCUUAAGCACCUCCCUCGGUGCACUACUGGCAAUACUAAAUCAUGCACCAAACAACAGAACACUCGGGAUACUACAGGGAUUUGCUACUGGGCUCAUGUUGAGCAUGUCCUUCUUUGACCUGGCCUAUGAUGCUGUUAAUGCAAUUGGUUUUCUGAAAGGCAACCUUUGGUUUUUUGCUGGAGCACUUCUAUUUUCAGCAAUUGCCGAUAUUUUCCCUGAGCCAGAAUGCAGCCCGCCGGAUGAAAAUGACAAAGAAACUGUUAACAGUACAGCACGGAAGGAACUUAUGAUGAGACACCGAAGAAGAGUCAUCUUUAGUGUAAUUGUCACCGCAGUUGUUGCUGGUGUGAGUUUGCAAAACUUCCCGGUGGGUACUGCAGCGUUUCUCGGAACCGCAAAGGGAUUUCGUGUUGGCCUUAACUUGGUUAUUGCUAUAGCUCUACACUACAUCCCGGAGGGUAUUGCUGUAGCUCUCCCUGCAUAUUUUGCCACUUGCAGCAAAUGGCAGGCGUUCAAACUAGCAACACUUGCUGGUUUUGCAGAGCCAAUAGGUGUAAUUAUCGUGGCAUAUCUAUUUCCGAGCAACUUAAAUCCAGAAAUAUUGGAAGGUCUACUUGGAUUAGUGGGAGGAGUAAUGGCAUUUCUGACACUGUAUGAGAUGCUGCCAUUAGCAAUUGAAUACGCUGGACGCAAGGAUGCUGUGAAAGCUGUAUUCGUUGGCAUGGCUUUUAUGUCCAUGAGCUUGUACUUCCUGGAAGUUAGUCUUCCAAAGGAGAUGAGCGCUUAA